CCGAUGAUUUAUAAUAAAAAAAAAUGGUGCACGCGUGUGUGUGUAUGUCAAUUUGUACGCACACGCGCGCCACCAAUCGCGGGGGGAAGAAUGGGGGAAAAAAGAGAAGUGCUGUAUGUGUGUUGUUGUGUAUUGUCCCAUUGUGGCCGGUACACAUAUACACUAUCUCACUUUCUCUUUGUCCCACAAUAUAUAUAUGUAUAUAUAUAUAUAUGACCGUCAUCCCCUUCGCACUGAAGUGUCACAUAUGUGACGUGUGUGCCUCUCUGCGUAUCCUUUUUUUUUUGGGGACAUGUGUUGUAUCUCAAUUUCUCUGAGAGAGUUCAGGGAAAAAGAGAUAUAACACUGUUGUCAAAAAAAAAAAGAAAAACAGAAGGACGCAAAACAAAGAUCAUGCCGCUUGACUCUGUGUGUGUUAUAUACACACAGCUGUGGAGCACGGCCCCAAC
rnacentral:misc_RNA from 1 species